ensembl:lncRNA
AUUAGCAGCAGAACAGCUAAUUUAACAAGCUCACCAAUGAACAGCACAUGGUACGUAGAGAAAAAAAACCAUUCAACCAUGCUAGCAGCAUGUUAGCCACAUGCCAGCAAUCUGGCUAGAUGGUGGGUAUCGUGGUGUGAGAAGCCAACCCAUCAAAGCAGAAAUGAAAGACCAGACUGCUUUGAGUACGAGGGUCAAUACGAAGCAGGAUUUGCUGAAAAGUUGAUUCUCAAGCAUGGAUCAAACAGUACCAACUGUUCGUGAUCCAGCUUCAUAUCCAGGAGACGCUCUCCGCUUCAUUCUGUGAUCGCAAUAACAGGUAGCAAAGCUGCAGGGAAGCACUCAUUUCCUGGAUAGUUCAUGAAUGUUCCUGUCUUGAUGCUCAAGAAAACAUUGGAGGAGACUAAAAAAAGGCUAAAAAUUUGUAAGUUGUCAGUUUUCAGACUUUAUCAACUAAAACUUGACUAAAAAACAAAAAAAACAAAACAAAACAAAAAAAUACCCAAAAC